rnacentral:rRNA from 1 species
UACGGAGGGUGCAAGCGUUGUCCGGAUUUAUUGGGCUUAAAGGGUGCGUAGGCGGCUCUUUAAGUCAGUGGUGAAAGCCUCCAGCUUAACUGGAGAACAGCCAUUGAUACUGAAGAGCUUGAGUACAGACGAGGUAGGCGGAAUUUAUGGUGUAGCGGUGAAAUGCAUAGAUACCAUAAAGAACUCCUAUUGCGAAGGCAGCUUACUAGGCUGUAACUGACGCUGAGGCACGAAAGCGUGGGGAUCAAACAGG